rnacentral:tRNA from 1 species
CUUUUAAAGGAUAGAAGCCUAA